CAUGCCUUACACAUUCAAGUCGACCGGGUAGCACGCGGUGCACCUCUUCGAUGUCGAGUGGCGGCGCGGGGUGAGUCAAUAUAUCGGAACGUGCCCUAGGAGUGGGGGAUAAUCUAGUCGAACAGACUAGCUAAUACCGCAUACGAUCUCCGGAUGAAAGUGGGGGAUCGCAAGACCUCAUGCUCAUGGAGCGGCCGAUAUCUGAUUAGCUAGUUGGUAGGGUAAAAGCCUACCAAGGCAUCGAUCAGUAGCUGGUCUGAGAGGACGCCCAUCCACACUGGAACUGAGACACGGCCCAGACUUCUACGGGAGGCAGCAGUGGGGAAUUUUGGACAAUGGGGGCAACCCUGAUCCAGCAAUGCCGCGUGAGUGAAGAAGGCCUUCGGGUUGUAAAGCUCUUUUGUCAGGGAAGAAACGGUCGUCUGUAAUACAUACCACUAAUCACGGUUCCUGAAGAAUAAACACCGGCUAACUACGUGCCAGCAUUCGCGGUAAUACGUAGGGUGCAAGCGUUAAUCGGAAUUCCUGGGCGUAAAGCGUGCGCAGGCGGUUAUGUAAGACAGGUGUGAAAUCCCCGGGCUUAACCUGGGAAUUGCAUUUGUGACUGCAUGGUUAGAGUGUGUCAGAGGGGGGUAGAAUUCCACGUGUAGCAGUGAAAUGCGUAGAGAUGUGGAGGAAUACCGAUGGUGAAGGCAGCCCCCUGGGAUAACACUGACUCUCAUGCGCGAAAGCGUGGGGAGC
rnacentral:rRNA from 1 species